AUGUCGCUCCUCCUGGUGCUGAUCAGUGUUGUGGUCGGCAUGGUCGGCCUGCUGCUGAGGUGGAACGAGGUGAGGUACGGCAGGAGGGGGAAUGUGCGCCUGCCGCCGGGGACAAUGGGGUGGCCGCUGUUCGGCGAGACCACCGAGUUCCUCAAGGAGGGGCCGAGCUUCAUGAAGCGGAAGGGGCUCAGAUACGGGAGGCUUUUCCGGACGCACAUCCUGGGGUGCCCCACAGUGGCGUGCAUGGACCCCGAGCUCAACCGCCGGAUGCUGCUCCAGGGCGAGUCCGGCGGCCUGGUCCCAGGCUACCCGCAGUCCAUGCUCGACAUCCUCGGCCGCAACAACAUCGCCGCCGUGCACGGCCCGCUGCACCGAGCCAUGCGGGGUGCCAUGCUUGGCCUCGUGCACCCCGCCGCGAUCCGCGCCAGCCUCCUUCCCAAGAUCGACGCCUUCAUGCGCUCCCACCUCGAUGGAUGGUCCGGCUGUGUCGUCGACGUCCAGGCAAAGACCAAGGAGAUGACCUUGCUAUCCGCACUCAAUCAAAUCGCCGGCAUCACCGCUGGCCCGCUCUCUGAUGCCCUCAAGACAGAGUUAUACACCCUUGUGCUCGGCACCAUCUCCUUGCCCAUCAACCUUCUAGGGACUAGGUAUUACCAGGGCUUGCAGGCGAGGAAGAAGCUCGUGUCCAUGCUAGAGCAGAUGAUCGUGGAGCGGAGGUCUUCUAUUCAAGCUCACGAUGACAUGCUGGACGCUCUAUUGAGAAGUGGCGAUGAUGGGGCCAGGGAAAAGCUCAGUGAUGAGCAGAUCAUUGACUUGAUCAUCACCCUUAUUUACUCCGGAUAUGAGACCAUGUCGACGACCUCGAUGAUGGCUGUCAAGUACCUGUCGGACCACCCACGGGCUCUCCAAGAUCUUAAGAGAGAGCAUCUUGAUAUCAGGAAGGGGAAAUCAUCGGAGGAGGCCAUCGACUACGAGGAUUUCAAGUCCAUGGCCUUCACUCGAGCUGUCAUCUUUGAGACGCUAAGAUUAGCCACAGUCGUGAAUGGGCUGAUGAGGAAAACUACUCAGGAUGUAGAAAUGAAUGGGCAUGUCAUUCCAAAAGGCUGGAGAAUCUAUGUUCACACAAGGGAGAUAAACUACGAUCCAUUCAUGUACCCUGACCCGACAACCUUUAACCCAUGGAGAUGGCUGGAGAAGAACACGGAAUCGCACCCACAUUUCAUGAUGUUCGGAGGAGGCGGCCGGAUGUGCCCCGGGAAGGAGGUGGGCACGGUUGAGAUCGCGACUUUCCUCCACUAUUUCGUGACUCGAUACAGAUGGGAGGAGGAAGGCAGGAACGCCAUCUUGAGAUUCCCCCGGGUGGUAGCUCCCAACGGGCUACAUAUCCGAGUUCAAGAUUAUUAA
rnacentral:rRNA from 1 species